rnacentral:rRNA from 1 species
CAGUAGCCGCGGGAAAACGUAGGGUGCGAGCGUUAAUCGGAAUUACUGGGCGUAAAGCGUGCGCAGGCGGUUAUAUAAGACAGAUGUGAAAUCCCCGGGCUCAACCUGGGACCUGCAUUUGUGACUGUAUAGCUAGAGUACGGUAGAGGGGGAUGGAAUUCCGCGUGUAGCAGUGAAAUGCGUAGAUAUGCGGAGGAACACCGAUGGCGAAGGCAAUCCCCUGGACCUGUACUGACGCUCAUGCACGAAAGCGUGGGGAGCAAACAGGAUUAGAUACCCCCGUAGUCCCUGUCUCUUAUAC